CUUAGGGUCUAGUUCAGUCCACAUCUUGGUGUCAUGCCCCAUGGUUACCACCAGGGGUCAGCAGGGCCAUGGCGGGGUGCAGGAUGGACGCUGUGGCCAGGGCAGUGGCAGGGACCUGUCUGAGGGGUGAAGCCAUCCGCAACAGGGAUGCAGGUGUUGGCUGGUGUCUUGGAGGUCAACCCUGGCCAGGCCCUCUGGCUGGCUGAGCUGUGGUCUUUAGCUGCUUGGGGGCUAGGGGUGUCGGCUGCCUUGGAGGAGCUACAGGGGUCCUGGGAGCUGAGGAUGGGGCCUCCUGGGGGACCCCAGGCCCAGCACAGUGCUCAUGACCAGGGUGGCCUUUGGAGUAAUUAGAAGCAGGUUUUGAAUCCUGUGUGUCCUUGGGCCACUUCCCUAACCUCUCUGGGCCUCAGAGAACUUUCCAUCUGUAAAAUGGGAGAAAUGAUCAAAGGGCUGCUGGAAGGGUCCCGUGAAAUGAUGCCUGCAAAGAACAUGGCCCAGGCCGGUGCGAUGCGGUCAUGUGGUAAACCACACCAUUGUCAUGACUGUCAUCAAUAGAGUUUUCAGGGGACCGUCCUUUCUGUCAUCGACUUCUCCAGGAUGCUCCUGCUGGUUUUUAAUGUUUCUAAUCUCCUGUUGAUUAUUCCUGGGGUUUCAGCCAAAUAAGCCCUGCCAAUUAAAGCUCUUGCCGCAGCUCCGAGUGGGGUUGCCAUGGCGAUGGCAGUGGGGUUUUACUUCUUACUUGGAGCACACACACGUGUGUGAGUCUUUUUGUGGGUCUCUGCCCGAAUGUGUAGCUGUUACCAGAACUCCCUGCUGUGGAGCCGGAGGUGGCAGGUGGAAGCUGAAGUUGUUGACUGCAGUCAGCCCAGGACUAAUUAUUCCCCAUGAUUGAAGCAAGACUCUUCUGGAUUGUCAUCUCAAAGUCCCGUAAAUGAUGGGUUUUUCCAGUCUAGCUGGUGUUAACAGGCAGCAUCUUCACCAGUGGGCUCCGUUCUUGCUAAUCCUUGGGUUUAUAAAUGAAGAGGAGAGACUAGAGGCCACACCUCCCUCCAACUCCCAUUCCAAUCACCGAUCUUUGUUAUAGAUUAACAGCCACUUUAUUGUCCUGUACCUGACUCAGACCAGAUGGUGCAAAAGACCCCAUGACUGUUACAUUGUCAGUGUGGAGAGAUAAAUACAGCCUUCCCGAAAGAAAAAGACCACCUUGGCAAAUGAGAUCAUUUCAACUACGCAGUAAGCUUUAUUUAGAAAGAUGUUGAAAUUCUGUUAAGCUUCCCUAAACUUUGUUUAUAUAAAUGAUCCCAAAUGUCUACACUUCAGAACGCUGAUUGUCAUUCUUCAGAAUCUGUGUUUCCUGCAUGGGGC